CCUACGGGCGGCAGCAGUGAGGAAUAUUGGUCAAUGGACGAGAGUCUGAACCAGCCAAGUAGCGUGAAGGAUGACUGCCCUAUGGGUUGUAAACUUCUUUUAUAUGGGAAUAAAAUGUUCCACGUGUGGGAUUUUGUAUGUACCCUAUGAAUAAGGAUCGGCUAACUCCGUGCCAGCAGCCGCGGUAAUACGGAGGAUCCGAGCGUUAUCCGGAUUUAUUGGGUUUAAAGGGAGCGUAGGUGGAUUGUUAAGUCAGCUGUGAAAGUAUGCGGCUCAACCGUAAAAUUGCAGUUGAAACUGGCAGUCUGGAGUACAGUAGAGGUGGGCGGAAUUCGUGGUGUAGCGGUGAAAUGCUUAGAUAUCACGAAGAACUCCGAUUGCGAAGGCAGCUCACUGGACUGCAACUGACACUGAGGCUCGAAAGUGUGGGUAUCAAACAGGAUUAGAUACCCGGGUAGUC
rnacentral:rRNA from 1 species